rnacentral:rRNA from 1 species
AUGUGGCUGACUGGUGAUCUACGACCACCUUGGGCUAGGAGUCAAGACGGGGCUGCCCUACAUCUGCCACAGCAAGGCCAGCAACCCAUUCGUGAACCUGAAGGAGUACAAGGGCAUCUUUUGGCAGGAGGACAUCAUCCCCUUCUUCUAGGUCGCGAAGCUGACAAGGAAUGUGACACCCUGCAGAAGUGCUACAUCUCGCUCUCGCAGCAGGUCAAGGAGAAGCUCGGCAAGAUUGACCCCUAUUUCAUCAAGCUCGCCGACGCCAUGGUCAUCUGGAUCGAGGCCCGGGACAUGCUCAACUCCAAGGACUCCAAGGAGGCCAACGGCAAGCUCAAGGGGAAGUAG